rnacentral:tRNA from 1 species
UUAGUUGAAGCCAAAAUAGAGGCGUAUUACUGUUAAUGAUAAAAAUGAAAUAAUAAUUUCCAGCUAAA